rnacentral:lncRNA from 1 species
AAGCUUAAAUAACAGGAAAACGAUGCACUUUGUUAAAUAUAGAUACUAAACAUUUUAAUAAAGUGCUUAAAGGUAACUAUCAAAAAGCUAUAUAAGAAGUCGAUAG